rnacentral:misc_RNA from 1 species
GCAGGUUUUAGGGAUUUAAGACGGGAAGCAAGCCGGCCUCCAGUACCACACAAUAUCGAAAUCAUAGGCAGAAUCGGGAAAAUUGAUCAGAUAUGAUACAGGUUCAGGACAUCACUGGUUAUAAAUCAGAAUGUUAAUAUUUUAAAUACUUGAAAAUUUCUUCAAACUUGCAUCAAAUACUUGAUAUUGUUGAUAUGAAGCACUUAAAGCAAAUGGCAGCACUUAUUUCCAUAUCUUCACAUAUUUAUCAUGACUCGCAGACGCAACCAUCCCUGUAAGCGGCGAUUGUGCCAAAGCUGAUAUCACACACUCAUGAGCAGGAAUCGUCAUACACUUGUUCUCACCCGUGUUCCAGAGUUCCAGUGACUUGACAAUAAUGACGGUUUGUCAAGGGGAAAAAGGAGAGACAUAAAACAAACAUUAGUAACAUCAAACACAAAGUAAUGCUCUCACUUUCCAUGGGAUAUUCAAAAACAUUUGGAACUUACAAAUACUACUACCACUAUAUAUAUCAACAUAAGGGGGAAAAAUCACCUGAUAGCCUCCAAUGACCAAGAGAGUGGAGUAGCUUGGAUGGAAAACACAAGAA